rnacentral:rRNA from 1 species
UACGUAGGGUGCGAGCGUUGCCCGGAUUUAUUGGGCGUAAAGGGCGCGCAGGCGGUACGGCACGUCCGUUGUGAAAUCGCUCGGCUCAACUGGGCGGGGUCAGCGGAUACGGCCGCACUUGAGCAAGCUAGGGGGCAAUGGAAUUCCCGGUGUAGUGGUGGAAUGCGUAGAUAUCGGGAGGAACACCUGUGGCGAAGGCGGCCAUCUGGACAACUACUGACACUGAGACGCGAAAGCGUGGGUAGCAAACAGG